CCUCCACAGAAAUCUUAUCGCCACCCCACGCGAGAUCUAUCCAGUUCCUUCCCCUGUCGCCGUUCUCUCUCUCCGCCUCUCUGAAUCCUCGACAUCCCGGCGACUACAGUUGAGGGCGCGGAGCCAUGCAAGCGGAGUGUUGCGUCCAUGGACAAACUCCACCCCCUUCUCAUUCCUGCAAUCAUGGAUGAACUCCAUCCCCUUCGUCACCCACACUUAGCCCUCUUUUUUCCCUCAACUGUUGAAGAAGUUGCAACCGGCCAUGAAAAAGUUGCGUCCACAGUGGGAGGUGCUGGAACCUGCCAGGGAAAAAGCUACAACCACAUCAAUUUGAGGUGCUGGAUUUGACAUGGUGGUGCAAGUCGAUGUCGGCGGCGAGCCGGAGACGGGGACCCUGGGAUGCGGCAACCAUGGCUAGAGGGCGCUGGAACCCUCCUCUGUUCAAGCUCUGCUGCAAUCAUGGUGAGCGGAGGCAGCCGAGGCAAGUGCCGGGCACGGCAGGCGAGCGAGGGUGACGGGCGCGGUGGCAACCAAGCAUGGGAAGACAAGGACAAGCGCAGGGAGCCAGCGAGCGCGCGGUACUGUAAAUCGGAUGCUUAAGUGGCUUCAAACAGGAGGAUACACAUCUCUUGUCUUCCUUUUCUUUACUGUCAUACGCCAUUUUCUGACAUAUUCCCUCCAUCCCGAAUUGUAUUUAGACGCAUUUCACUGUGUAGAUUCACUCAUUUCAGCGACAGUUAAUUCCGGAAGGAGGGAGAAGGUAUUAAAUAUUC